AUAUCCGUAGUGCAGAAUAAAUCGGAUGUUAGUUGAAGGUCAAACUUGGCAAAAAUUUGUUGAAAUUUGAGAACAAAUUUGGUAAAAUUUGGUCAAAGUUAUGAAAUCCUUCCCAAUUUUAACAAUUUAUAAUAUUUGGUUAUGUUUGUCCGAAAAUUUUUUUUAGCUUUUCUAAUGUUAGUCCGGAAAAUUUUGUAUUACCCCCGUGACCUGCCCCCACCCCUCCCCUGUGACCAAAUGCCUUCGCAGCCCGCAUCCAGGCUUUGCCCGCGCCAGGCUAACACGUGCAGGAGAUUUUAGCAAUGGCAAGGAAGUCGAAAGAGCUUCAAUAAAAGCCAACAUUAAAUCGAGUUUCAGAUCAAAAUAUUCGUUCUAAAACCUUUAUUUUUUCGAUUUUAUCCAAGUAUUACCACUUAUCUUUAAAGAAUGGACUUUCUUGUGUUCUUAGCCGUUAAAAAAGGGCUGCAAAUUCCUUCAAAAGAUGCUAUUCUGUGAAGCUUACUGAAUUACAACACGUGGUUGAAGCUUAAGUGUGAUGGUCUUUUCGCCUCGAUACCAGCGCCGUAACCUGUUCAGAAGCUGCUGAAAAUACUCUGGCGUGUCUGCUUCUAAGGUAUU